UUUUGGGCUCCGGUAAGAAGCAAGUUAUAUACUUUGUUGGGCAUGAGACUUAACACUUUUUGUUGUAGAAUAAUCAGUAUAAAACCAAAAUAACAGAAUAAUAAAAACGAACGAAUAUAUUUUAUAUACAUAUAAUUGAAUCAAUAUAACAGCAAUAUAAAUUAUAGAAUACUGACUUGAAUUGUAGAUAGAGUCCUACAGAGUUGCAGUGUCCUUUAGACAGUAUUUCUCAUCUACCCUUGUGCUUGUAGUUCGAUAGGAGUCUGUCCACCAGGAUUAAACUAUCUUAAAUCAAAGCCUAAGCACAGUGGCUUUGAUUUCUGGUGAACAGUGGUAUGAAUUCUCUCAAGAAGUGUUAAAAAUGUGAGAAUGAUAAUGCUGUUCAAAAGGUAUUUUCUCGUUUGAACGUAUUGUCAAUAUAUAGAAGUCUGACAU
rnacentral:lncRNA from 1 species